rnacentral:rRNA from 1 species
ACUCAAAGGAAUAGACGGGGACCCGCACAAGCAGCGGAGCAUGUGGUUUAAUUCGAAGCAACGCGAAGAACCUUACCAGGGCUUGACAUCCCCCCGACAGCCCCGUAACGGGGGCCUCCUUAGGGCGGGGGAGACAGGUGGUGCAUGGUUGUCGUCAGCUCGUGUCGUGAGAUGUUGGGUUAAGUCCCGCAACGAGCGCAACCCUUGCCGUUAGUUGCCAUCAUUAGGUUGGGCACUCUAGCGGGACUGCCGGGGAUAACUCGGAGGAAGGUGGGGACGACGUCAAAUCAUCAUGCCCCUUAUGUCCUGGGCUACACACGUGCUACAAUGGCCGGCACAGCGAGAUGCGAAGCCGCGAGGCGGAGCGGAACUCCAAAACCGGCCCCAGUUCGGAUCGCGGGCUGCAACCCGCCCGCGUGAAGCCGGAGUUGCUAGUAAUCGCGGAUCAGCACGCCGCGGUGAAUGCGUUCCCGGGUCUUGUACACACCGCCCGU